ensembl:snoRNA SNORA70 Small nucleolar RNA SNORA70
CUGCAGCCAGUUAAGCCGACCGUGCUCUUUUCCCCAUGGGGGCCCGGUGUGCAGUGGCUGCAGAGAGCAGCCUCCUCGGUAGUGUAUAUGCAGCCUGUUGCCUGUACGGGUUGCCCUAAGGGACCUUGGAGACAGCC